AGCUCUUUGGGAAGCGUUUGGAGGAGCUCAUUUCGGAGGCCACUGGCGGUAAGAGCUCUCUUCUUCCCCAGAAUCAGCCUCGCCGCCGUCGCUUUCCUGGGUCGUCCUCUCGGGCGCAGUCCUUUCGGUCCUUUCGGGCCCCUGCUGCCCGAACUGACAAGAAGUCCUCCAGGCCUUCCUUUAAGGCCAAGCCCUCCUGGCAUGCCAAGUCCAAACCUGCUCGCCCUCAGCCCACUAAACCUCCUUCCGCAUGACUCUAUCUCCGUCAUGGU